rnacentral:rRNA from 1 species
GCAGUCGCCGCGGUAAGACAGAGGAUGCAAGCGUUAUCCGGAAUGAUUGGGCGUAAAGCGUCUGUAGGUGGCUUUUCAAGUCCGCCGUCAAAUCCCAGGGCUCAACCUGGGAAUUGCAGUGGAUACUGGAUCACUAGAGUGUGGUAGAGGGAUGCGGAAUUUCUGGUGUAGCAGUGAAAUGCGUAGAGAUCAGAAGGAACAUCCGUGGCGAAGGCGGCGUCCUGGGCCAACACUGACACUGAGGCACGGAAGCGUGGGGAGCAAACAGGAUUAGAUACCCCCGUAGUCCCUGUCUCUUAUAC